UAUCUGUGGGAAUGGCGUUAAAGCUUGUUUCGUGUGUAGUGAGGAUGAGAAAUAUUUUGGUUGGGUUUUGAGGCUGCGAGGUUUUACAGAAAAUCUCUGUUUUGAGUUUGGAGGUUAUAUUGCUAAAAUGAGUAAGGAUUUGUUAGAUUUUUUGUGUUUUAAGCGAUCCUAAUUUUGGAUGGAAAAGUUUUAAUAGACGAGAAGUUAGGCUUAAUGCGUUUGAUUUGAUGAGAAUUGUUUACUAACACAAGUGGUCUUUUGGUUUUAAAAGUAAGAANNNNNNNNNNNNNNNNNNNNNNNNNNNNNNNCGCUCUUUGAAGAGGGUUAAGAGAAAAUAAUUCCUUUUGGAUAAAGGGUCCUGCCUGCCCGGUGACUUAGUUUAACGGCCGCGGUAUUUUGACCGUGCAAAGGUAGCAUAAUCAUUUGCCUUUUAAAUGGGGGCUGGUAUGAAUGGCAAGACGGAAAUUAGACUGUCUCUUUUUUAUUUUCUUGAAUUUGAUUUUCUUGUGAAGAAGCGGGAAUGAAGUCGCGGGACGAGAAGACCCUAUCGAGCUUUAGUGGUCCCGGAUAUGUGCUCUGGAAACUAUUUUGUAGCUAAUUGGUGAGUUUUUGUCUCGGGAGAGUUUUACUUAUGAGGUAGUUGUGUUUUAUGUGGGCUAUUUUGGUUGGGGCAACCGCGGAGGAAAGGUAUCCUCCGCUGAGGAGACUAGUAGAAUGUAUUUUUUUAUGGUGAGUUUUUUGAGUGACCCGCUGAGAAGCGAUUAGAAGAAUAAGUUACCGUAGGGAUAACAGCGUAAUUCUUUUAGAGAGUUCAUAUUGAGAAGAGAGUUUGCGACCUCGAUGUUGGAUCGAGAUUUCCUGGGGGUGCAGCAGCUCCUAAGGGUUGGUCUGUUCGACCAUUAAAAUCUU
rnacentral:rRNA from 1 species